rnacentral:rRNA from 1 species
GAUGAACGCUGGCGGCGUGCUUAACACAUGCAAGUCGAACGGUAAGGCCCCAGCUUGUUGGGGUACACGAGUGGCGAACGGGUGAGUAACACGAGGGCGUCUUGCCCCGCACUUCGGGAUAAGCCUGGGCAACUGGGUCUCAUACCGGAUACGAACGCACUGCGAGGGCGUGGUGGAAAGUUUUUCGGUGUGGGAUGGGCGCGCGGCCUAUCAGCUUGUUGGUGGUGUAAUGGCCUAGCAAGGCGGCGCCGGGUAGCCGGCCUGAGAGGGUGGACGGCCACAGUGGCACUGAGACACGGCCCGGAGUCCUGCGGGAUACAGCAGUGGGGAAGAAUGCACGAUGGAGGGAAGCCUGGUGCAGCGACGCCGCGUUAUGGAUGGCGACCUUCGUGUAGGAAACUCCUAUCACCAUCGACUGAGGUUUUCUGACGGUAGAUGGAGAAUAAGCACCGGCUAACUACGUG